GAUGAACGCUGGCGGCGUGCCUAAUACAUGCAAGUCGAGCGAACAGACGAGGAGCUUGCUCCUCUGACGUUAGCGGCGGACGGGUGAGUAACACGUGGAUAACCUACCUAUAAGACUGGGAUAACUUCGGGAAACCGGAGCUAAUACCGGAUAAUAUAUUGAACCGCAUGGUUCAAUAGUGAAAGACGGUUUUGCUGUCACUUAUAGAUGGAUCCGCGCCGCAUUAGCUAGUUGGUAAGGUAACGGCUUACCAAGGCGACGAUGCGUAGCCGACCUGAGAGGGUGAUCGGCCACACUGGAACUGAGACACGGUCCAGACUCCUACGGGAGGCAGCAGUAGGGAAUCUUCCGCAAUGGGCGAAAGCCUGACGGAGCAACGCCGCGUGAGUGAUGAAGGCCUUCGGAUCGUAAAACUCUGUUAUUAGGGAAGAACAAAUGUGUAAGUAACUAUGCACGUCUUGACGGUACCUAAUCAGAAAGCCACGGCUAACUACGU
rnacentral:rRNA from 1 species